UCCUACGGGAGGCAGCAGUAGGGAAUCUUCCGCAAUGGACGAAAGUCUGACGGAGCAACGCCGCGUGAGUGAUGAAGGUUUUCGGAUCGUAAAACUCUGUUGUUAGGGAAGAACAAGUUGGGUAGUAACUGACCCAACCUUGACGGUACCUAACCAGAAAGCCACGGCUAACUACGUGCCAGCAGCCGCGGUAAUACGUAGGUGGCAAGCGUUGUCCGGAAUUAUUGGGCGUAAAGCGCUCGCAGGCGGUCUUUUAAGUCUGAUGUGAAAGCCCACGGCUUAACCGUGGAGGGUCAUUGGAAACUGGAGGACUUGAGUACAGAAGAGGAGAGUGGAAUUCCACGUGUAGCGGUGAAAUGCGUAGAGAUGUGGAGGAACACCAGUGGCGAAGGCGACUUUCUGGUCUGUAACUGACACUGAGGCGCGAAAGCGUGGGGAGCAAACAGGAUUAGAUACCCUGGUAGUCCACGCCGUAAACGAUGAGUGCUAAGUGUUAGAGGGUUUCCGCCCUUUAGUGCUGAAGUUAACGCAUUAAGCACUCCGCCUGGGGAGUACGGCCGCAAGGCUGAAACUCAAAGGAAUUGACGGA
rnacentral:rRNA from 1 species